UACGGAGGGUGCAAGCGUUAUCCGGAUUCACUGGGUUUAAAGGGUGCGUAGGUGGGCAGGUAAGUCAGUGGUGAAAUCUCCGGGCUUAACCCGGAAACUGCCAUUGAUACUAUAUGUCUUGAAUGCUGUGGAGGUAAGCGGAAUAUGUCAUGUAGCGGUGAAAUGCUUAGAUAUGACAUAGAACACCUAUUGCGAAGGCAGCUUACUACGCAGAUAUUGACGCUCAUGCACGAAAGCGUGGGGAUCAAACAGG
rnacentral:rRNA from 1 species